ensembl:lncRNA
AUGGCAAUGUAACGGAUGUGAAACGCUAGCUUAGUUAGCGGUGGUUCGCGCUAAAUAGUGUUUCAAUCGGUGACGUCACUUGCUCUGAGACCUUGAAGUAGUGGUCCCCCUUGCUCUGCAAGGGCCGCGACUUUUGUGGAGUGAUGGGUCACGACGCUUCGUGGGUGACUGUUGUUGCUGUGUGCAGAGGGCUUUUGUGGAGCGAUGGGUAACGAUGCUUCGAGGGUGACUGUUGUUGAUGUGUGCAGAGGGUCCUUGGUUCGCGCCCGGGUAUGGGCGAGGGGACGGUCUAAAGUUAUACUGUAACAGCAAGACUUGAUGUAAUUAGAUGCUCUGGACAGAUCCCACCCUCCUUCCCCAACACAUGUAGAAUGCUUAGAAACCACCAGAAACCUGUGAAAUAGAUCAACAGAUGAUGUUUUAUCUCCUCUCAAGGUCUGUUGAUUUACAGUAUCUCAGAAUCAGGAACUGUCAUAUCCCAUGUGAUAUGUCAAAACAAGUUGAUACAUGGUGCAUUGGGUUUGUAUUUGUAUUUAUUGUGGAUCCCCUUUAGCUGCAGCAGCUACUCUUCAUGGGGUCCAGUAAAAUGAAGGCAGUUAUACAAUUGUAAAAACAUUCCCGAUACAUUAACAACAGAUUUCACAUAAUCCAUGUUCCUGUUUGAUUUCGGGGUAGGCUGUCAACAGCACGUACUGUGACACUAUGAUAUAUAUUCUGAUUAGACAUAUCUGACGUCAUGUAUUUGAUAUCUUUAUGUGAAGGUUAACGUCCAUAUUGACAUCAGUUCAUUGUGUUUGAGGACGGUUCACUGACGGGUUUUCAACGGAUACGAUUAGACGAGUUUAACAGUUACAGAAUAGCUGCAGUAUCAGAGGCGCAGAGCCUUAAUUAACGGGCUACACAUAAUGGCUGACGACAGCCAGAGCGUGAAAUGGGAGGAUCCCCCGGAUGACCAAAAUAAGGUUGUGGAGAAUAUGAAGGAUGAAACAGAGACACAUGAGACCAGCAAAGACAGGACAAGAGGCAAGGUAAGAAAUAUGCUGUCCUUUACACAUGCUCUGCCUACUUAGGCACAGAUCUAGGAUUAGUUUACUAUCACUAAAUCCUAGCCUUAAAGCAUUAGGAGGAGACGCUACACUGACCUUAGAUCUGCUAUGAGACCUAUAAUCUGUUGUCAUGUAGGCUAAACGUAAGUCCAGUGGCGGUGCCAAGAAGACUUCCGUGGAGGAGGACAGCAGCAUUGGUGCAGGUCCGAGAUUACUUCAUGUUGGGUGCAGGUUGUGUUCAAAUUCAUCAGCACCGAUCUGAGUAGAUAGUAUCUAUAUAGGUGAAAGCAAUAUAGUGGAGGCCCGCAGAGAGAUGUGCUUUUACCUGUCCAGUGCAAUCAAAUCCCUAAAGGUGAAGGAAAUUAGGGAUCAAGUUCAGAUUCAACUUUAGAUUUCUCUUUGCGGUUUCCCAGAGUCUUCUCAGACACCCGGGUGUGGUUUCCGGGAAAGGGGAUCUAUCAUUGAGCAGCUGGAGAAGGAGGCUCAGAGGACUCUAAUGCCUUCUCUCAAGAUUGGGACAUGCUGUGCCCCAAUCCUCCUCUCCUUCCUGAGGAGUCUAACUGAUGAGCAAGUCCCAUGUCUUUUUCCAACCUCACAUACAACAACUCUGAAUUUAUUGUCAUAGUGCACCUUCUAACCACAAAUGGGAUUUCAAACACUACACCUAACCCUAACAUCACUGUAACCACACACCUAACUCUUCCUGUAAAUCAAGAACAAAAUAUCUCAUGGACUUGCUAAUUGCUUAAAUAAAUACACGUUUAUUUUCCCUGACAUGGCUAUCUAGUGACUCCACUAACUCAACACCAGUGUGCAGGUAAAAUAUGUUUCCUUUCUUUUCUUUUCUCUAGCCAAUGGAGAGUGAUUCAGCAGGGCAUGAAAAAUAAUGUAAGUCUCUCCACAUAAGGUUCUGGUCAAAAGUUGUGCGCUAUAUAGGGAAUGGUGUCAUGGAAUUGCUUGAUUGACAAAAACAUUACUCUGUUUGUUGGCCAUAGC